rnacentral:lncRNA from 1 species
CCAUGUGUCCCUACGUGUCCCUACGUGUCCCCAUGUGUCCCCAUGUGUCCCCCUGUGUCCCUAUGAGUCCCCAUGUGUCCCCCUGUGUCCCCAUGUGUCCCUAUGUGUCCCCAUGUGUCCCCAUGUGUCCCCAUGUGUCCCUAUGUGUCCCCAUGUGUCCCCAUGUGUCCCUAUGGAUCUCUAUGUGUCCCCCUGUGUCCCCAUGUGUCCCCAUGUGUCCCCAUGCCCCCCUACGGGGCCCAGCGGGCGUCAGGCCGGAGCGCUUUGGGGUCCUUUAUUGGCAGCCCGUCCCCCCCCAUCCCAUAAUAUGUCAGAGGCGGCGGAUCUUCAUCUCGCUGCGGCGCAGGGAGUAGUUGAAGCCCUUCCACUGGGCCCAGUUGAGGCCGUUGGCGUAGGAGAGGUGGGCCCCCCCCAGGUAGAAGCUCUAUGGGGCUCUAUGGGGCUCCAUGGGGCUCUAUGGGGCUCUAUGGGGCUCUAUGGGGCUCCACGGGUCUCUAUGGGGCUCUAUGGGGCUCUAUGGGGCUCCAUGGGUCUCUAUGGGGCUCCAUGGGGCUCAAUGGGUCUCUAUGGGGUCUGUUGGGAUCUAUGGGACUCUAUAGGUCUCUAUGGUGCUCCAUGGGUCUCUAUGGGUCUCUAUGGGGCUCCAUGCGUCUCUAUGGGUCUCUAUGGGUCUCUAUGGGGCUCCAUGCGUCUCUAUGGGUCUCUAUGGUGUCUAUGGGCUUCUAUGGGGCUCUAUGGAUCUCUAUGGGGUUCUAUGGAGUCUUUUGCGAUCUAUGGGUCUCUAUGUGUCUCUAUGUGUCCCUAUGGUGCUCAAUGGGUCCCCAUGUGUCCCCAUGUGUCCCCAUGUGUCCCCAUGUGUCCCCAUGUGUCCCCAUGCCCCCCUAUGGGGCCCAGCGGGCGUCAGGCCGGAGCGCUUUGGGGUCCUUUAUUGGCAGCCCGUCCCCCCCCAUCCCAUAAUAUGUCAGAGGCGGCGGAUCUUCAUCUCGCUGCGGCGCAGGGAGUAGUUGAAGCCCUUCCACUGGGCCCAGUUGAGGCCGUUGGCGUAGGAGAGGUGGGCCCCCCCCAGGUAGAAGCCGUUGAGGUUGGAGAAGUGGCAGCUCUUGAACCACCAGGCGCCGGACGACAGCGCGGCGCAGUUCUGCACG